rnacentral:rRNA from 1 species
UACGGAGGGUGCAAGCGUUAUCCGGAUUCACUGGGUUUAAAGGGUGCGUAGGUGGGCUGGUAAGUCAGUGGUGAAAUCUCCAGGCUUAACUUGGAAACUGCCAUGGAUACUAUCAGUCUUGAAUACCGUGGAGGUCAGCGGAAUAUGUCAUGUAGCGGUGAAAUGCUUAGAUAUGACAUAGAACACCAAUUGCGAAGGCAGCUGGCUACACGAAUAUUGACACUGAUGCACGAAAGCGUGGGGAUCAAACAGG